AUGGAAAUCUCUGUAAUUUUAGAUAGUAUAGGGGCGGAAUGAACCAAGG
rnacentral:tRNA from 1 species